rnacentral:rRNA from 1 species
UUUCCCUCAGGAUAGCUGGCACUCGCGCGAGCGAGUCUCAUCUGGUAAAGCGAAUGAUUAGAGGCCUUGGGGCCGAAACGACCUCAACCUAUUCUCAAACUUUAAAUGGGUGAGAUCUCUGGCUUGCUUGAAUGGUGAAGCCACGAGAUUUCGGAUCAGAGUGCCAAGUGGGCCAAUUUUGGUAAGCAGAACUGGCGCUGUGGGA